rnacentral:rRNA from 1 species
GCCAGACUCCUACGGGAGGCAGCAGUGGGGAAUAUUGGGCAAUGGGCGCAAGCCUGACCCAGCAACGCCGCGUGAAGGAAGAAGGCUUUCGGGUUGUAAACUUCUUUUAAGAGGGAAGAGCAGAAGACGGUACCUCUUGAAUAAGCUCCGGCUAACUACGUGCCAGCAGCCGCGGUAAUACGUAGGGAGCGAGCGUUGUCCGGAUUUACUGGGUGUAAAGGGAGCGUAGACGGUUAUGUAAGUCUGGAGUGAAAGCCCGGGGCCCAACCCCGGGACUGCUUUGGAAACUGUGUAACUGGAGUACAGGAGGGGCAGGCGGAAUUCCUGGUGUAGCGGUGAAAUGCGUAGAUAUCAGGAGGAACACCGGCGGCGAAGGCGGCCUGCUGGACUGAAACUGACGUUGAGGCUCGAAAGCGUGGGGAGCAAACAGGAUUAGAUACCCUCGUA